rnacentral:rRNA from 1 species
AACAAACGCUGGCGGCGUGCCUAAUACAUGCAAGUCGAACGAGGAAAGCUUCCGGGUGAGUACUAGUGGCGCACGGGUGAGGAAUAUAUGGGUAAUCAGCCCUCGAGUUGGGGAUAACCAGUCGAAAGACUGGCUAAUACCGAAUAAGACCACAGGAUCUGCGGAUCUAGGGGUUAAAGGUUUUUCGCUUGAGGAUGAGCCCAUACGGGAUUAGCUAGUUGGCGAGGUAAUGGCUCACCAAGGCUACGAUCCCUAACUGGUCUUAGAGGAUGAUCAGUCACACUGGAACUGGGACACGGUCCAGACUCCUACGGGAGGCAGCAGUAGGGAAUAUUGCACAAUGGGGGAAACCCUGAUGCAGCGACGCCGCGUGAGUGAUGAAGGCCUUCGGGUCGUAAAGCUCUGUCGUAUGGGACUAACACAAUGAAGGUACCAUGCAAGAAAGGAUCGGCUAACUUCGUGCCAGCAGCCGCCGUAA